UGUUCGUUUGCUUGCAAUGGAAAUAAACCGAAGAAACUUUAUGUUUUUGUCUGGACAAUGGACUUAUUUUCCCUGCGUAAAUAAUUCCAUAUAGGUGCCUCAGACGUUUGAUUUUAUUUUGAUAAUUUUAUUUAUUUAUUUAUUUGAUAAUUCAGCUCAGGACAAACAGCAGAUUACAAAUGAUAAAUUCUUACCUCCAGUGUUGUUUCAGAGGCUGCUGGGUGGCUGAUGUUCACAGUGUGAUGUGCUCCAAACACCUACAGAUCUGUGUCACCAAGACUUUUAAUGCAUCAUUCACUAGUGGAGACCUUCCUGCAGCUUACAAAUCUACAUUAAUAAGGCUGACGGUGGCAGCAGGCGAAGCAAGUCCAGCUCUUCCUGGUGGAUCCCAAGACUAUAUGAGAUAUGUA